rnacentral:misc_RNA from 1 species
UUGUGGAGGAGGACGCCGAAGGUGGGGCUAAUGACUGGGGUGAAGUCGUAACAAGGUAGCCGUACCGGAAGGUGCGGCUGGAUCACCUCCUAACAGGGAGACAACAAAAUGUUUAAUAUUAUUAUUUUGUCACCUUAGGUCGAUCGGUAUCUCACGUUUUUAAUUUAUUAAGAAUUUCAUUUCCUAAGUUUUUCUAGGUCACACCCAUUAUUUUUCCUGGGCCAUUAGCUCAGGUGGUUAGAGCGCACCCCUGAUAAGGGUGAGGUCCCUGGUUCAAGUCCAGGAUGGCCCAUAUCUCUAUGUUGGGGGUAUAGCUCAGUUGGUAGAGCGCCUGCUUUGCAAGCAGGAUGUCAGCGGUUCGAGUCCGCUUACCUCCACUGAUCACCACCUCUUCCAUAAUCGGUAGAAAGGAAAUUUUUUGAGUUGUGAUCAAAUUCUGAAAGAAUCUAGCUUCCUAAUGAAAUCAUUAAGAUGCUGGACUCAUUGAAUUAAUUUCAUUGUUUUCAGAGAACCUUGACAACUGCAUAGAUUAUUUUUAAAGACAAUAAGCAUCUUUAAUGAUGCAGAUUUAUUAUUUGUGCAAAUGCAUUAAUAACAAUUCUAUUAAGCUGAUGCUUCAAUUUUUGAAGUUAUUGGUCAAGCUACAA